rnacentral:rRNA from 1 species
GACGAACGCUGGCGGCGUGCUUAACACAUGCAAGUCGAACGGAAAGGCCCUGCUUUUGUGGGGUGCUCGAGUGGCGAACGGGUGAGUAACACGUGAGUAACCUGCCCUUGACUUUGGGAUAACUUCAGGAAACUGGGGCUCAUACCGGAUAGGAGCUCCUGCUGCAUGGUGGGGGUUGGAAAGUUUCGGCGGUUGGGGAUGGACUCGCGGCUUAUCAGCUUGUUGGUGGGGUAGUGGCUUACCAAGGCUUUGACGGGUAGCCGGCCUGAGAGGGUGAACGGCCACAUUGGGACUGAGAUACGGCCCAGACGCCUACGGGAGGCAGCAGUGGGGAAUAUUGCAGAAUGGGCGGAAGCCUGAUGCAGCAACGCCGCGUGCGGGAUGACGGCCUUCGGGUUGUAAACCGCUUUCGCAUGUGACGAAGCGUGAGUGACGGUAAUGGGUAAAGAAGCACCGGCUAACUACGUG